UCUAGAUAGAAUUUUGAAAUUAUGUUUUCCUUGAUUCAAAUUCUCAGAUUUUCUUUUUUGCUUGUUGACCAUAUCUCUAUCUGUCCAAGUAAUCUAUUUUUGAUUUUGUAAUUCUUGGUUGGAUUUGAUAAAGGGUUUUCAAGAGCAUCAAUCUGAAAAUGAGUGAGAAUGAGAAUACCCAAAACUUGGACAUUGUAGAUUUGGAGAAAGAUGAGGUUUCAAAAAACAAGGCAAAACAAACAGACAUAAACGAGGUUCAAGAAGCAUUAAAAACAAGUUGUAAGAAGACUACUUCAGUAAAAAAGAAAGAGACAGUAGCGGGAGAGAGUUCAACAUCUACAACGAAGAAAAGAAAAACUUUACUAAUUAGAGCUUCUAAU